UACGAAGGGGGCUAGCGUUGCUCGGAAUUACUGGGCGUAAAGGGCGCGUAGGCUGUCAUGUUAGUCGGGUGUGAAACCCCCGGGCUCAACCUGGGAACUGCACUCGAGACGGCAUGACUUGAGGACGAGAGAGGGUGGUGGAACUCCCAGUGUAGAGGUGAAAUUCGUAGAGAUUGGGAAGAACACCAGUGGCGAAGGCGGCCACCUGGCUCGUUCCUGACGCUGAGGCGCGAAAGAGUGGGGAGCAAACAGG
rnacentral:rRNA from 1 species